AGUUUGAUUAUGGCCUCACUGGAACGCUGGCGGGAUGCUUUACACAUGCAAGUCGAACGGCAGCACCGGACUUCGGUCUGGUGGCGAGUGGCGAACGGUGCAGAGUAAUGUAUCGGAACGUGCCUAGUAUGGGGAUAACUACGCGAAAGGUAGCUAAUACCGCACACACACCCUUCGGGAAAGCAAGACCCUGGCCUCGCAUCAUUAGAGCGGCCGAUAUCGGAUUAGCUAGUUGGUGGGGUAACGGUCAUCAAGGCGACGAGAUCCGUAGCUGGUUUGAGAGGACGACCAGCCACACUGGGACUGAGACACGGCCCAGACUCCUACGGGAGGCAGUAGGGAAUUUUGACAAUGGGGAAACCCUGAUCCAGCCAUCCCGCGUGUGCGAUGAAGGCUCGGGUUGUAAGCACUUUUUGGCAGGAAAGAAACGGCACGGAGAUAAUACCCGUGCAACUGACGGUACCUGCAGAAUAAGCACCGGCUAACUGAUAUUGCGCCAGCAGCCGCGGUAAUACGUAGGCAAGCGCGUUAAUCGAAUUACUGGGCGUAAAGCGUGCGCAGGCGGUUCGGAAAGAAAGAUGUGAAAUCCCGUAGAGUUUAACUUUGGAACUGCAUUUUAAUCAUCGAGCUAGAGUGUGUCAGAGGGAGUGUGGAAUUCGCGUGUAGCAGUGAAAUGCGUAGAUAUGCGAGGAUGGCGAAGGCAGCCCCGGGGAUAACACUGACGCUCAUGCACGAAAGCGUGGGGAGCAAACAGGAUUAGAUACCCUGGUAGUCCACGCCCUAAACGAUGUCAACUAGCUGUUGGGGCUCUCGGGCCUUGAAGCGCAGCUAACGCGUGAAGUUGACCGCCUGGGGAGUACGGUCGCAAAGAUUAAAACUCAAAGGAAUUGACGGGGACCCGCACAAGCGGUGGAUGAUGUGAUUAAUUCGAUGCAACGCGAAAACCUUACCUACCCUUGACAUGUCUGGAAUCCCGAAGAGAUUUGGGAGUGCUCGCAAGAGAACCGAACACAGGUGCUGCAUGGCUGUCGUCAGCUCGUGUCGUGAGAUGUUGGGUUAAGUCCCGCAACGAGCGCAAACUUGUCAAUAGUUGCUACGAAAGGGCACUCUAAUGAGACUGCCGGUGACAAACCGAGGAAGGUGGGGAUGACGUCAAGUCCUCAUGGCCCUUAUGGGUAGGGCUUCACACGUCAUGGUGUACAAUGGUCGGGAUGAGAGGUCGUCAAUCAGCAGGGGAGCCAAUCCCAGAAACCCGAUCGUAGGCCCGGAUCGCAGUCUGCAACCUCGACUGCGUGAAGUCGGAAUCGCUAGUAAUCGCGGAUCAGCAUGUCGCGGUGAAUACGUUCCCGGGUCUUGUACACACCGCCUGUCACACCAUGGGAGUGGGUUUUACCAGAAGUAGUUAGCUUAAACCGUAAGGAGGGCGAUUACCACGGUAGGAUUCAUGACUGGGGUGAAGUCGUAACAAGGUAA
rnacentral:rRNA from 1 species